rnacentral:rRNA from 1 species
UACGGGGGGGGCAAGCGUUGUUCGGAAUUACUGGGCGUAAAGGGCUCGUAGGUGGCCAACUAAGUCAUGCGUGAAAUCCCUCGGCUUAACCGGGGAACUGCGUCUGAUACUGGAUGGCUUGAGUUUGGGAGAGGGAUGCGGAAUUCCAGGUGUAGCGGUGAAAUGCGUAGAUAUCUGGAGGAACACCGGUGGCGAAGGCGGCAUCCUGGACCAAUACUGACACUGAGGAGCGAAAGCCAGGGAGCAAACGGG